CGGACGGGUGAGUAAUGUCUGGGAAACUGCCUGAUGGAGGGGGAUAACUAAUGGAAACGGUAGCUAAUACCGCAUAACGUCGCAAGACCAAAGAGGGGGACCUUAGGGCCUCUUGCCAUCGGAUGUGCCCAGAUGGGAUUAGCUAGUAGGUGGGGUAACGGCUCACCUAGGCGACGAUCCCUAGCUGGUCUGAGAGGAUGACCAGCCACACUGGAACUGAGACACGGUCCAG
rnacentral:rRNA from 1 species